GAAAAACCGGCCACGUCUCCGACCGGACACCCAUGGUGGUGGUUGAUGGUGACCGUGACGGCUGUGGUUUCUAGGAUUCUCUCGACAUUCUGGUGGAUUCCCAAGCCUAAAAGACCAGUGUGAGUCACAGAACCCGGAAUAUGGCCAGCCAGAGGCAUGGAGGGAGGAGAUGGAGGAGUUGCCGGCGGGAGAUUGGGAAUUACGGAAAUGCCUAUGGUGACCGUCCGUCGCGUUCUUUAUAAGGUUCGAUUUUUUUGUUUAGGUAUUAGAAUUUGUGCUUGAUUUGUGAAUUAGUUUGGUAUAUAUACUCAUCUAACGAGUAUGUGAUGCUGCUCUAACAACUUUGAGAGAAUGAGGUUACAUUAACCAUAUGGUCGACUUGAUUCGCCACAAGGUAAAGUUUUGAAGUUGUUAUGGCACGAGUUAGCGGGCUUGUCACGAGCACAGUUAUGCCUACCACAUUGUGAUUAUCAACAUCGAUUAAGAAAUUUGUAGGGCUUACAAGUGGUACUUUCAGUUCAGAGAAGAAUACCAGGUUCCAUUUGAUGGAGGAAUAUGACAAGAAACAGAUGUAUUCAAAGCUUUAGCUCUUGGUGCGAAGUGGUUAUGGUUGGGCGAGCGGUUGUGUGUGGCU